UUGUCACAGUCCUAGGCAUGGUCUUCUGACCAGAAACCAGAAGUGAAAAGGAAGACCUUAGCAGGGUGUCAGAACUUUGAGCCUAGAAAAAUAGAUCUCAUGUUUUUCAGGGGAAGUAUUAAACUGGACAAGCCGAGGGCCAGAAGGGCAAGGUUGGAUCCAGAAGCCACUUGGCCAAGAAUUGGAAGGAAAAAAAUCAAGAGAAGAGCAGACAUCUCAUCAACACGGCUUGCAGCGGAGUUGAAGAAUGCUGGUAGCGAUGUGUUUUCACAGUUCAUCUUGCAAGACUCCCGUGCAGUUUCCUGGAGAAGCUGGACUCCUGCCCUCCAGAAUUUUUUUUACAUGUGCUCAUGGAUGAGCAAAAGAACUAGAAGUCAUCCUUCCUUUCUUCCUUCUUUCAAAACCAACCAACCAGAAGCCUACCCACUGAAAUGCUCGAAGUUCUCUAUAAGACUAAACACUAUUUACAAGGACUCUGAGACUUCUCAAGAGCUUAGAAUGCCUCUUCAUUUAUUAAAAAUAAAUGGAAUGGUGC